rnacentral:rRNA from 1 species
UACGUAGGGGGCGAGCGUUGUCCGGAAUUACUGGGCGUAAAGGGCGUGUAGGCGGCCUUUUAAGUCGCAUGUGAAAUCCACGGGCUCAACUUGUGGUGUGCAUGCGAAACUGAUAGGCUUGAGUGCAGGAGAGGGGAGCGGAAUUCCCGGUGUAGCGGUGAAAUGCGUAGAUAUCGGGAAGAACACCCGUGGCGAAGGCGGCUCUCUGGGACGGUACUGACGCUGAGACGCGAAAGCGUGGGGAGCGAACAGG